ensembl:lncRNA
AUGUGCUCCCGACAGAACUCCGGAGGCUGCCACGAAACAUCCUCCCAGUCCGGGGGAUGCCACAGCAGGGGCUCAUCCUGCCAUGGGGGCAGCUCCUCCAGCUACCAGGCACUGGGCUCCUCUUGCUGCGGGAGCGGAGGCUCCAGCAGCUAUGGUGGGGGCAUGGCCUCGUCCCAGCAGAUCCAAGGAUCCUCCGGCUUCGGCACGGGAGGAGGAUCCAGCGGGGGCUCCAUUAUCAUCUCAUCUGGGGGUGGCAGUGGAGGGUCGUCCGGAUGCUGCACUGGGGGCGGAUCCAGCGGGGGCAGCACCGGUGCCAGUCAGAAGAUCAUUGUUAGCUCUGGAGGUGGAGGAGGUGGCAGCUCAUCCGGGUGCUGCAGCGGAGGAUCCUCAGGCUAUGGAAUAGGAGGAGGAUACAGUGGUGGGUCUUCAGGAGGCAAGAUCAUCAUAGCAGGAGGGGGGAGCAGCGGAGGAUCCUCUGGAGGCUGCAGCGGAGGAUCCUCAGGCUAUGGAAUAGGAGGAGGAUACAGUGGUGGGUCUUCAGGAGGCAAGAUCAUCAUAGCAGGAGGGGGGAGCAGCGGAGGAUCAUCUGGAGGCUGCAGCGGAGGAUCCUCAGGCUAUGGCGUGGGAGGAGGAUACAGUGGUGGCAGCGGGGGAUCAGGCCAGAAGAGCAUUGUCAGCUCUGGAGGUGGAGGUGGCAGCUCAUCCGGGUGCUGCAGCGGAGGAUCCUCAGGCUAUGGCGUGGGAGGAGGAUACAGUGGUGGCAGCGGGGGAUCAGGCCAGAAGAGCAUUGUCAGCUCUGGAGGUGGAGGUGGCAGCUCAUCCGGGUGCUGCAGCGGAGGAUCCUCAGGCUAUGGCGUGGGAGGAGGAUACAGUGGUGGCAGCGGGGGAUCAGGCCAGAAGAGCAUUGUCAGCUCUGGAGGUGGAGGUGGCAGCUCAUCCGGGUGCUGCAGCGGAGGAUCCUCAGGCUAUGGCGUGGGAGGAGGAUACAGUGGUGGCAGCGGGGGAUCAGGCCAGAAGAGCAUUGUCAGCUCUGGAGGUGGAGGUGGCAGCUCAUCCGGGUGCUGCAGCGGAGGAUCCUCAGGCUAUGGCGUGGGAGGAGGAUACAGUGGUGGCAGCGGGGGAUCAGGCCAGAAGAGCAUUGUCAGCUCUGGAGGUGGAGGUGGCAGCUCAUCCGGGUGCUGCAGCGGAGGAUCCUCAGGCUAUGGCGUGGGAGGAGGAUACAGUGGUGGCAGCGGGGGAUCAGGCCAGAAGAGCAUUGUCAGCUCUGGAGGUGGAGGUGGCAGCUCAUCCGGGUGCUGCAGCGGAGGAUCCUCAGGCUAUGGAAUAGGAGGAGGAUACAGUGGUGGGUCUUCAGGAGGCAAGAUCAUCAUAGCAGGAGGGGGGAGCAGCGGAGGAUCAUCUGGAGGCUGCAGCGGGGGAUUCAGCAGUGGCAGUGGGGGUUCCUCAGGCCACACAAUCAUCAUCAGCUCCGGAGGAGGCAGCGGAGGGUCCUCCCAGUCCACGCAGCAGAAAUGCCCCAUUGUCAUUCCCAACGUUGAAUCCCAUCAAACCAAGCAGGCCUGCCACUGGCCCUCCAGCCACCAGAAGUAAUGGCCACAGAUGGCCCCGGAGCUCAGCAAGAACAGCCCUGCGCGUGACAGGUCACCAUUUUCUCUCUAGAUCUGAUGCUCUCUUCCCAGUUGGCCUGUUUCCUCCCAGCACAUCCUCUUCUCUUGAUGCUGCAUUGCUGUGAACUCAUUGUGCCAGUGCUCUACCCUGGUGCUGGCUUUACAAUGUCUUUGAUUGGGCUCCAUUGAUUUUUCCAAGAGUAUAUGUAAGAUCUAAUAAAUAUGAUAGUAUCCCAAGGAAGCCUUGUUUU